UUACUUGCUAGCUUCUUCUUCUCCUUCCAGCCGACAAAUCGAGUUUUGGAUUUUGGGAAUUCGCGAUUGGGUUUAGCAAAGUUUCAGAGAAAAAAGAAUGACCGAUUACGAAGAAGCGCUUUAUCAAGGAAACGGAGGUAACCUCGAAAACAUUCAUGGCGGUGGUUCCUCACCUAAGUCUCGCUCCGAUGAUCAAAACGAUUCUAAACACCAGGAUCAUGAGAGAGAGUCCUCUAGAAGCAGGGAAAAGGAGACAGAGAAAGGGCGUGACAAGGAAAAGGGCAAGGAUCGUGAUCGUCACAGGGACAGGGAUAGGGAACGAGAAAAGGAUCGUGAUCGUGAACGCCACAGAGACCGUCAUAGGGAUCGUAGUAGGGAACGCAGCGAGAGAAGGGAUCGGGGAAGAGAUAAGGAUGAUGAUAAUUAUUAUUACCGCAGUCGAGAUUAUGACAGAAGAAGGGACUAUGAUACAGACAGGGAGGAUAGGCAUAGCCGGAUGUCCCGAUCCCACUCCAGGAGUAUAUCUGAGCGCAGAUCAAAGUCAAGAUCUCGAUCUCGUUCACGCUCACGCUCAAAGAGCAAAAGGAUUAGUGGUUUUGACAUGGCCCCUCCAGCUUCAGCAAUGUUAGCUGCUGGUGCUGUGGCAGCGGCUGCUGCAGGUCAGGUUCCUGGGACGACUAACCCAACCUUACCUGGAGUGUUUCCAAACAUGUUUCCUCUCACAACUGGACAGCCAUUUGGUGCUCUCCCUGUUAUGCCAGUUCAGGCAAUGACUCAGCAGGCUACUAGGCAUGCUCGUCGUGUCUAUGUUGGAGGGCUUUCUCCUACUGCUAAUGAACAGUCUGUAGCAACCUUCUUCAGCCAUGUCAUGGCUGCAAUUGGUGGAAAUACUGCCGGUCCAGGGGAUGCUGUUGUUAAUGUGUACAUAAACCACGAAAAGAAGUUUGCUUUUGUAGAGAUGAGAUCUGUUGAGGAGGCUAGUAAUGGAAUGGCUUUAGAUGGGAUUAUCUUCGAGGGGGCACCGGUGAAGGUGAGGAGACCUAGUGAUUAUAAUCCUUCGCUUGCUGCCACUCUUGGUCCAAGCCAGCCGAAUCCCAAUCUUAAUCUAGCUGCUGUAGGUCUAACACCAGGUUCUGCUGGUGGGCUUGAGGGCCCUGACCGUAUAUUUGUUGGUGGGCUUCCCUAUUACUUUACAGAAGCACAGAUCAGGGAGCUUUUGGAAUCUUUUGGGCCUCUUCGAGGUUUUGAUCUGGUAAAAGAUAGAGAAACCGGAAACUCUAAAGGCUAUGCAUUUUGUGUUUAUCAAGAUCUGUCAGUUACAGAUAUAGCUUGCGCUGCUCUAAAUGGAAUUAAAAUGGGUGAUAAAACGCUCACUGUUAGACGAGCAAACCAGGGUGCUACCGAGCCUAAACCCGAGCAAGAGAGUAUACUCCAGCAUGCACAGCAGCAGAUUGCUUUGCAGAGGCUUAUUUUGCAACCACAAGGCGUGCAAACGAAGGUUGUGUGUUUGACUCAAGCACUUAAUGUCGAUGAUCUUAGGGAUGAUGAUGAGUAUGAAGACAUCGUGGAAGAUAUGAGACAAGAGGGUGGAAAAUACGCACAUUCUUGUUCUACAUUCUGCUAUAAAGAAUCAAGCCUAACAUACUCAGACAGAAGACUUGCUAACCCUCUACUUAUAUAUAUUUGAUGGCACUGCUUUCUCUAACUUGUGUUCUUUGGAAUAAAAAUUGUUUUAUUUUCCCUCUGUGGAAUCGAAAUUUUUACACGAAAUAUGCAGGUGCAUUGGUGAAUGUUGUCAUUCCACGCCCAAAUCCAAAAGGAGAACCCACCCCGGGUGUCGGGAAGGUAUUUCUGGAGUACUCGGACGUCGAAGGUUC